UACGUAGGGUGCGAGCGUUAAUCGGAAUUACUGGGCGUAAAGCGCACGUAGGCGGAUGUGUCAGUCAGGGGUGAAAUCCCGGGGCUCAACCUCGGAACUGCCUUUGAUACAGCACGUCUCGAGUCCGGAAGAGGUGGGUGGAAUUCCUAGUGUAGAGGUGAAAUUCGUAGAUAUUAGGAAGAACACGGUGGCGAAGGCGGCCACUGGUCCGGUACUGACGCGAGGUGCG
rnacentral:rRNA from 1 species